CGCGUAGGCGGUCGGCAAAGUUAGGGGUGAAAUCUUUCGGCUUAACCGGAAAAGUGCCUUUAAAACUAGUCGACUCGAGCGAGAUAGGGGCAACUGGAACUUCCGGUGGAGCGGUGAAAUGCGUUGAUAUCGGAAGGAACGCCGGUGGCGAAAGCGAGUUGCUGGAUCUCUUCUGACGCUGAGGCGCGAAAGCUAGGGGAGCAAACG
rnacentral:rRNA from 1 species